UAAGGAAUAUUGGUCAAUGGAGGCAACUCUGAACCAGCCAUGCCGCGUGCAGGAAGACGGCCCUCUGGGUUGUAAACUGCUUUUAUUCGGGAAUAAACCUAUCUACGUGUAGAUAGCUGAAUGUACCGAAGGAAUAAGGAUCGGCUAACUCCGUGCCAGCAGCCGCGGUAAUACGGAGGAUCCAAGCGUUAUCCGGAUUUAUUGGGUUUAAAGGGUGCGUAGGCGGCCUAUUAAGUCAGGGGUGAAAGACGGUAGCUCAACUAUCGCAGUGCCCUUGAUACUGAUGAGCUUGAAUGAACUAGAGGUAGGCGAGAUGUGACAAGUAGCGGUGAAAUGCAUAGAUAUGUCACAGAACACCGAUUGCGAAGGCAGCUUACUAUGGUUUUAUUGACGCUGAGGCACGAAAGCGUGGGGAUCAAACA
rnacentral:rRNA from 1 species